rnacentral:rRNA from 1 species
GACGUAGGGUCCAAGCGUUAUCCGGAUUUACUGGGCGUAAAGCGCGCGUAGGCGGUCUGUUAAGUGCACAAGUGAAAGCUCCGGGCUCAACUCGGAAAUUGCUUUGCAUACUGGCAGGCUGGAGGGACGCAGAGGUCUGUGGAAUUCCUGGUGUAACGGUGAAAUGUGUUGAUAUCAGGAGGAACACCCUAUGGCGAAGGCAGCAGACUGGGCGUUUCCUGACGCUGAGGCGCGAAAGCGUGGGUAGCAAACGAGGAAUUGAGAU